rnacentral:rRNA from 1 species
CUACGGGCCGCUGCAGUUAGGUAUAAUCUACAAUGCGCGAAAGCGUGAUAGUUUGAAUCAGAGUGCUUUGCUUUGCAAAGCUUUUGUGAAAUUUAAAAUGUUUUACGAAUAAGGACUGGGUAAGACUAGUGGCCAGCCGCCGCGGUAAUACUCAGCGGUCCAAGUCGCAGCCAUUUUUAUUGGGUCUAAAACAUCCGUAGCUUGCUUCUUAAGUUCCUUGUGAAAUCUUAUAUCUCAAAUGUAGGGCGCGCAAGGAGUACUGGGAAGCUAGAGACUGGGAGACGUAAAGAGUACGUUUGAGGUAGCGGUAAAAUGUGUUAAUCUUAAACGGACUAACAAUAGCGAAGGCACUUUACGAGAACAGUUCUGACAGUAAGGGAUGAAGGCCAGGGGCGCAAAACGGAUUAGAUACCCUCGUAGUC